AUUGAACGCUGGCGGAAUGCUUUACACAUGCAAGUCGAACGGUAGAGGGGGCAACCCCUCGAGAGUGGCGAACGGGUGAGUAAUAUAUCGGAACGUGCCCAGUCGUGGGGGAUAACGUAGCGAAAGUUACGCUAAUACCGCAUACGAUCUAAGGAUGAAAGCGGGGGAUCGCAAGACCUCGCGCGAUUGGAGCGGCCGAUAUCAGAUUAGGUAGUUGGUGGGGUAAAGGCUCACCAAGCCAACGAUCUGUAGCUGGUCUGAGAGGACGACCAGCCACACUGGAACUGAGACACGGUCCAGACUCCUACGGGAGGCAGCAGUGGGGAAUUUUGGACAAUGGACGCAAGUCUGAUCCAGCCAUUCCGCGUGUAGGAUGAAGGCCCUCGGGUUGUAAACUGCUUUUGUACGGAACGAAAAGGUCUCUCUUAAUACGGGGGGCUCAUGACGGUACCGUAAGAAUAAGCACCGGCUAGCUACGUGCCAGCCGCCGCGGUAA
rnacentral:rRNA from 1 species